rnacentral:siRNA from 1 species
UGAAAGGUGAGAUGGAUAAUAC